rnacentral:rRNA from 1 species
UACAGAGGGUGCAAGCGUUAAUCGGAAUUACUGGGCGUAAAGCGAGCGUAGUCGGUUAUUUAAGUCGGGUGUGAAAGCCCCGGGCUCAACCUGGGAAUUGGACAUUCGAUACUGGAUAGCUAGAGUUCGGCAGAGGGAAGCGGAAUUUCGGGUGUAGCGGUGAAAUGCGUAGAUAUCAGGAGGAACACCGAUGGCGAAGGCAGGUCUCUGGGCCACUACUGACGCUGAGAAGCGAAAGCAUGGGGGAGCGAACAGG